UCACUGUCAAAAAUCCAUAUAAAAAAUUCGCGGGCAAAAGUCCAUCUCGCGCAAGCAAAAGUCGGUGAUUUGCCUCAGUCCUGUGAAAGCUGACAGAGAAGUAAGUUUGUUCCUCUCUAAAUGAGAUAAGAAAAUGAAGAAUAUGAAGAAUAACUGACAUUAAUUGAGUAUUUAUAUUGUAUAACCCUAUAAGUAUAACCCUUUUUUACAAAAGAAACAAUUAAGUGACUAGAGUUGUUUAAAAUGUUUAAGCUAGCGGUUAGAUUAUCUUGGUUAGCAAAAGCGGUUUCCAAAUAGUGGUCAUCAAUUUUUUAAUGCAGUUUAGCGUUUUAGGCAAACGUAAUGCUCUCUUUAAUACAAUAUAUUAACCUUAUACGUUUGUGAUAACCAUAUACUAAUGAAGCAACACAAUAUGAAAUAAAAGAAACGUUUUAGAAAAUAAUGUGUACUAACCUACUACAUAGCUUUUUCUUAAUGCUUUGUGUUUAUUUUAAUAUUUCAGAAUGGCAUUAAAGACGCUUUUGACAACAAAGCCUCCAACACCCUAUUUUCGCCCCCCGCCAAUCCACCUAUGUGUGGUGUUGGUGGUGGAGCAGCCCAGGGUGGUGGCCUGGGAGUUUGACUCAAAUGGUGCGAGACCAGCACAGACAAAAAUUAAUAUUCUGGCCGCACUAACAGAUGGAGAUUCAGUGGCCAAAGUCACUGUAUUCGAGGAGUUUGGCAAAAGAUUUAAGGAGGGUGGGAGUUAUAAUGUAAAGGGGCUGUCCCUGAGAGGGCAGUCCCCCCCCAUAUCAAUUAAAUAUAACUAAGGACACGCUGUUCUUUAGGAGCGCUCCUAUAGCGCUCAGUGCAGCGCUCAAACUUGAAGCAGAGCUUCUAAUACACCCCCCCUCUCCACUGACUCCGCUGAGCACCUGCCGGGAUGCCAGGGGCCUGAUAACCGUGGAGGGCGAGGUGGUCGAGGUAAAUUAAGUUUCAGCCUACGGUGGUUUAAAAAGGAAACAGGUUUAAUAUUAGCUGCAAAUUGGUAUAAAAUGUCAAUUAACUGAAACAUCCAUUUUGUUCAGCUGUCAGCUUUAAAAGAAAUCGCGACAGGGAGAGACGUCGUUCCAUUGCGCAACGUCACGAUGCAGCAGGGGGAAUCACAGAUGUCGCUGUGUUUCUGGAGGGAGGCGGCCGUAUGGCAGCUGCAGGUGGGGGCCCACAUUAAAGUUUCCCAUCUUAAAGCUGGGAGGUCUAACUAUGGGCUCAGACUCCAGUCCACAAACUUUUCCACCAUCGAGGAGGUACGCUCAGAGGACAUCGUGGGGGCACUCGGGGUGAUGGAGAUUGAGGGAGAUCCGUGGAACCUCAACCUUCUCCUAGAAGAUGGCCG